rnacentral:tRNA from 1 species
GCCGGCGUAGCUCAGUGGUAGAGCAAGCGUUUCAUAAGCGCUGGGUCGCAGGUUCGAUUCCUGCCGUCGGCA